CAUUAUUUACAUUUGACGGAUAUUUGUCCUCAUCUUGUUUGGUUGUUAAAACUGUUUGUUUUAACAACAAACAAGAUGAGGACAAAUAUCCGUCAAAUGUAAAUAAUG
rnacentral:pre_miRNA from 1 species